CCUACGGGGGGCAGCAGUGGGGAAUAUUGCGCAAUGGGCGCAAGCAUGACGCAGCGACGCCGCGUGAGGGAUGAAGGUUUUCGGAUCGUAAACCUCUGUCAGAAGGGAAGAAGUUGCAUGGGGCCAAUCACCUGUGCAUUGACGGUACCUUCAAAAGAAGCACCGGCUAACUCCGUGCCAGCAGCCGCGGUAAUACGGAGGGUGCGAGCGUUAAUCGGAAUUACGGGGCGUAAAGCGCACGUAGGCUGUAUGUCGAGUCAAGUGUGAAAUCCCAGGGCUUAACCGGGGAACUGCCUUUGAAACUGGCAAACUGGAGUAUGUGAGAGGGGGGUGGAAUUCCAGGUGUAGGAGUGAAAUCCGUAGAUAUCAGGAGGAAUAUCAGUGGCGAAGGCGGCCGCCUGGAACAAGACUGACGCUGAGGUGCGAAAGCGUGGGGAGCAAACAGGAUUAGAUACCCUUGUAGUC
rnacentral:rRNA from 1 species